rnacentral:rRNA from 1 species
UACGUAGGGGGCUAGCGUUGUCCGGAUUUAUUGGGCGUAAAGAGCGUGUAGGCGGCCAGGUAGGUCCGCUGUGAAAACUCGAGGCUUAACCUCGAGCUGUCGGCGGAAACCAUCUGGCUAGAGUCCGGAAGAGGAGAAUGGAAUUCCCGGUGUAGCGGUGAAAUGCGCAGAUAUCGGGAAGAACACCCGUGGCGAAGGCGGUUCUCUGGGACGGUACUGACGCUGAGACGCGAAAGCGUGGGGAGCGAACAGG